GUGCCUGUAGCUCAGUGGCUAGGGCUCUAGCCAUACACACAAGAGCUGGCAGGUUCGAAUCCAGCCCAGGCCCA
rnacentral:tRNA from 1 species